GUUAUACCCUUUUUUAGACGAAGUAUAUGAUACUGCUUACCAAACAUAGCUGUCCUGUUACACUUUUGUCAGGGAAUAGAAAUAAAAAAUUAUAAUUUAAUUACUCUGGCAUCUACAGUGGAAGGAUCAGUUUUUAUGGCAUGGACUAGAAAGGAGAGAAGUGGACCAUGUGAACGUAGUACAACAUUGUUGUUAGUUCGCGCAGUCGAGGUCUGCUCAGGAAGACACAGUUCGACCGAACAGCUGUUGUGUUUUCCCAGUUGUUUGCAAAUCCGACGAAAAGGAGCAAAGAAAGAAUAUUGAGGAAUAUUUAGGUAAAGAAGAACAAGUGCAUUUAUGUUGCUUCCUGCAAGGUCAAUGAUAUGGAGCCAGUUGGAAUUCAUAUUCAAGCUAAUACAGUGACUAAAUUUGGCGAGCAGCGAGUGCCUGAUCAUGAUCUGCGGGAGGGUAACGGUUAUUAUAAUAAUUGAGUGUACCCAAUGGAGGCUGCAUUACAUAAUUAAUCAGAGGGUAAGGGCGUCCAUAGUUUUCAUUGAACUACUGCAGUUUCCAACUGAAUUUUCAUUUGCAGAUUCCGAAGAACGGAGUUCUAGGUUCUAACCAUGUCGCUUCCAUUUGUUGUAUUCUGAGAAUAAAUCUUGUUCUAUAUCCCUGCAUUGUUAUCCACUGGACUCUAAAACAAAAAUCAAUGUUUGCACAUCCAGACAAGGUAAACUUAUGAUGAGUAGACUCCACAAUAUAAAUUGACAUUCUAUGUCAGUGGAAGUGAGUCUAUACUCACCGAGGAACAAUUUGAUCUGAUAACUAUGAAAUGUUCUUUGUUGGUUUUGGUUCUAUAAGAUCAAGAUCUAUAAUUAUAUUCACUUUACAUGUUAA